ensembl:lncRNA
UAACGUAGUUCUAUUAAUCUGCGCUCGUUUACUCUUGAACCGGAUGUAAGUCCCAAAAAACUGAAUUUUGGAACUGAAACUGAAUGCGGCUAUCAUUUUCUGGAGUUGGACCUGUGCACCACUUCCAAGCGAAUAUAAAGGACGGGGAAGACGGCCUUCGCUUCUAGUAUUUGCAUAAUUAUUCACCUCUCGUGUGUGGAAGGAAGUCUGUGGAGUGCUCAGUCUUUUAUCCCCAGUUUCAUCCCUAGACUAAUGGAAAAACUGAGCAUCCUAACCACCUGCACUGAGGCCACUCUUUGCUGUGUUGCAUCAUCCAAGCAGUCAACAUGGAGAUCUCACCUGCCCUGGGUUGAAUAUACACACAACCACAUGACAUCAUCUACAACUCUGCUGUCCCUGUUUGCAUCCCCAGUCUGCUACCAACCUCUACUUUCUCCAGAUGCUCUUUGUUUCCUCUGUACAGGAUACUUUACACCAUCAUUUCCAUGUCCCCCAGCUGAAGCAUCAAAUGGCGUGAGAGAUGCUUGGUGGACUGUGAAGGGUAUGGCCUGGUUGCUCCAACCUGGACAAACAUUACAACUUUGUAUAAUCUGAAGACUCCAUACAUUUUGAUGUCAUUACUUCAGCUUCAUUUCUGAGAAAUCUGGUGUUGUCUGAUGAUCAAAACUAAAACCCUUGAAACUGGUCUUGUGCAUAAACAGCUGCAGAAAUAAAAAAAAAAAACACGGAUUAUGAUUGUGUUUUAAGAUAUAACAAUAAAGCUUAGCUUCCAC